rnacentral:rRNA from 1 species
UACGUAGGGGGCUAGCGUUGUCCGGAAUCAUUGGGCGUAAAGCGCGCGUAGGCGGCCCGGUAAGUCCGCUGUAAAAGUCAAAGGCUCAACCUUUGAAUGUCAGUGGAUACUGCCGGGCUAGAGUCCGGAAGAGGCGAGUGGAAUUCCUGGUGUAGCGGUGGAAUGCGCAGAUAUCAGGAGGAACACCGAUAGCGAAGGCAGCUCGCUGGGACGGUACUGACGCUGAGGUGCGAAAGCGUGGGGAGCGAACAGG